rnacentral:rRNA from 1 species
AGCGAACGCUGGCGGCAGACUUAACACAUGCAAGUCGAGCGGACCUUUCGGGGUCAGCGGCGGACGGGUGAGUAACGCGUGGGAACGUGCCUUCCGGUUCGGAAUAACCCUGGGAAACUAGGGCUAAUACCGGAUACGCCCUUAUGGGGAAAGGUUUACUGCCGGAAGAUCGGCCCGCGUCUGAUUAGCUAGUUGGUGGGGUAACGGCCUACCAAGGCGACGAUCAGUAGCUGGUCUGAGAGGAUGAUCAGCCACACUGGGACUGAGACACGGCCCAGACUCCUACGGGAGGCAGCAGUGGGGAAUAUUGGACAAUGGGCGCAAGCCUGAUCCAGCCAUGCCGCGUGAGUGAUGAAGGCCUUAGGGUUGUAAAGCUCUUUUAUCCGGGACGAUAAUGACGGUACCGGAGGAAUAAGCCCCGGCUAACUUCGUG